CCCGGCGCGCUUCUCGCCCCUCUGUUCGGCCGCCGCCACCCGCGGCUCUUCCCGCCGCCACCAUGUACGACGCGGACGAAGAUAUGCAGUACGAUGAAGACGAUGAUGAAAUCACCCCUGACUUGUGGCAAGAAGCCUGCUGGAUCGUUAUUAGCUCCUAUUUUGAUGAAAAGGGUUUAGUCAGGCAACAGUUGGAUUCUUUUGAUGAGUUUAUUCAGAUGUCUGUGCAGAGAAUUGUUGAAGAUGCUCCACCAAUUGAUUUACAAGCUGAAGCCCAGCAUGCCACAGGAGAAGUGGAAGAGCCGCCUCGGUAUCUGUUGAAGUUUGAACAAAUCUAUCUCUCCAAACCUACACAUUGGGAAAGAGAUGGAGCACCCUCACCUAUGAUGCCCAAUGAAGCCAGACUGAGAAACCUUACGUAUUCAGCCCCCUUGUAUGUGGAUAUAACUAAAACAGUUAUUAAGGAAGGAGAGGAUCAGUUACAGACACAGCAUCAGAAAACUUUUAUAGGAAAAAUUCCUAUUAUGUUACGUUCAACAUACUGUUUGUUGAAUGGCUUAACUGACCGUGAUCUUUGUGAACUGAAUGAAUGCCCGCUUGAUCCUGGUGGCUACUUUAUCAUUAAUGGAUCAGAAAAGGUUCUGAUUGCUCAAGAGAAAAUGGCUACAAACACAGUGUAUGUGUUUGCAAAGAAAGAUUCAAAAUAUGCCUACACAGGAGAGUGUAGAUCUUGUCUGGAAAAUUCCUCUCGACCAACAAGUACUAUAUGGGUUAGCAUGCUGGCCAGAGGUGGGCAGGGUGCGAAGAAGAGCGCUAUUGGUCAGCGCAUUGUAGCAACUUUGCCAUAUAUCAAACAAGAAGUCCCCAUCAUAAUUGUCUUCCGUGCACUAGGCUUUGUGUCCGACAGGGACAUUUUAGAGCACAUCAUAUAUGAUUUUGAAGAUCCAGAAAUGAUGGAAAUGGUCAAACCUUCUCUGGAUGAAGCGUUUGUAAUUCAGGAGCAAAAUGUUGCUCUAAACUUCAUUGGAUCAAGAGGUGCAAAGCCAGGUGUCACCAAAGAAAAGAGAAUCAAGUAUGCUAAAGAAGUCUUGCAGAAAGAAAUGCUCCCACAUGUUGGUGUCAGUGACUUCUGUGAAACCAAGAAGGCCUAUUUUCUAGGGUAUAUGGUUCAUAGAUUGUUGCUGGCAGCACUGGGAAGAAGAGAGCUUGAUGACAGAGAUCAUUACGGCAACAAAAGACUGGAUCUUGCUGGGCCACUGUUAGCUUUCCUAUUCAGAGGAAUGUUUAAGAAUUUGCUGAAGGAAGUGAGAAUAUAUGCACAAAAGUUUAUUGACAGAGGGAAGGAUUUCAACUUGGAACUGGCAAUUAAAACACGAAUUAUUUCAGAUGGUUUGAAGUAUUCAUUGGCAACUGGAAACUGGGGUGACCAGAAGAAAGCUCAUCAGGCCAGAGCAGGAGUAUCUCAGGUGUUAAACCGCCUGACUUUUGCAUCUACGCUUUCCCAUCUGAGACGCCUGAAUUCUCCAAUUGGUAGAGAUGGUAAACUAGCAAAGCCCAGACAGCUGCACAAUACGCUGUGGGGAAUGGUUUGCCCUGCUGAGACCCCAGAGGGUCAUGCAGUAGGACUUGUGAAGAACUUGGCCCUGAUGGCUUACAUUUCUGUGGGGUCUCAGCCAUCCCCAAUUUUGGAAUUCUUGGAGGAGUGGAGUAUGGAAAACCUGGAAGAAAUAUCUCCAGCAGCAAUAGCUGAUGCUACCAAGAUCUUUGUUAAUGGCUGCUGGGUAGGCAUACACAAAGAUCCGGAGCAGCUCAUGAAUACCCUAAGGAAGCUCCGUCGUCAGAUGGACAUCAUUGUGUCAGAGGUCUCAAUGAUUAGAGAUAUUCGUGAGCGAGAAAUCCGCAUCUAUACUGAUGCAGGCAGAAUUUGUCGACCCCUUUUAAUUGUGGAAAAACAGAAGUUGCUGUUGAAGAAAAGGCAUAUUGACCAAUUGAAGGAACGAGAGUAUAACAAUUACAGUUGGCAGGAUCUCGUGGCCAGUGGUGUAGUAGAGUACAUUGAUACACUGGAAGAAGAGACUGUGAUGCUGGCAAUGACUCCAGAUGACUUGCAAGAGAAAGGUGUGGCAUAUUGUUCAACAUACACACACUGUGAAAUUCACCCAUCUAUGAUCCUGGGAGUAUGUGCAUCUAUUAUCCCUUUCCCUGAUCACAACCAGUCUCCCAGGAACACAUACCAGUCUGCUAUGGGUAAACAGGCUAUGGGAGUUUACAUUACAAACUUCCAUGUUCGUAUGGAUACGCUGGCACAUGUGUUGUAUUAUCCUCAGAAGCCCCUUGUAACAACACGUUCCAUGGAGUACUUGCGAUUUAGAGAGUUACCAGCAGGUAUCAACUCUAUUGUAGCCAUUGCAUCAUACACAGGCUAUAACCAGGAAGACUCUGUCAUCAUGAACCGUUCUGCUGUUGACAGAGGCUUUUUCAGAUCUGUGUUCUAUCGCUCAUACAAAGAGCAAGAGUCUAAAAAAGGGUAUGACCAGGAAGAAGUUUUUGAAAAGCCUACACGUGAAACUUGCCAAGGUAUGAGACAUGCAAUCUAUGACAAACUUGAUGAUGAUGGUUUGAUAGCACCUGGGGUGCGUGUGUCUGGGGAUGAUGUCAUCAUUGGCAAAACAGUAACGCUGCCAGAAAAUGAAGACGAACUGGAAAGCACUAACAGACGUUUCACAAAGAGAGACUGUAGUACUUUUCUGCGAACUAGUGAGACUGGUAUUGUAGAUCAGGUCAUGGUAACCCUUAACCAGGAAGGAUACAAGUUCUGCAAGAUUAGGGUACGCUCUGUAAGAAUCCCACAAAUUGGAGAUAAGUUUGCCAGCAGACACGGGCAGAAAGGAACUUGUGGUAUCCAGUACAGGCAAGAGGAUAUGCCCUUCACCUGUGAAGGCAUCACACCUGAUAUAAUUAUCAACCCUCAUGCCAUCCCUUCCCGCAUGACCAUUGGUCACUUGAUCGAGUGUCUUCAGGGGAAGGUGUCUGCAAACAAGGGAGAAAUUGGUGAUGCUACACCUUUUAAUGAUGCUGUCAAUGUGCAGAAGAUUUCCAAUCUUUUGUCAGAUUAUGGCUAUCAUCUAAGAGGAAAUGAGGUCCUCUACAAUGGCUUCACUGGUCGAAAAAUCACAUCACAGAUCUUCAUUGGUCCUACAUAUUAUCAGCGAUUGAAGCACAUGGUAGAUGACAAAAUCCAUUCUCGUGCAAGAGGGCCAAUCCAGAUACUUAACAGACAGCCCAUGGAGGGUAGAUCUCGGUGUCAGGGUUUUGGUAGCAGGAGGUGCUUCUGGAAUGGCCUCUCUGAGAAAGGACCAGGGGUUGCCCUGUGCUGGACAACAGCCACUUACAGCUGGCUCCAACAGACCCACUGCUGGCCAAAGCUGAGCAUGUCAGUGAUGCUGGUGGCACAUAUGUGGUAAUGUACUUAAGAAAUGGUAAAAAACACUGUGCAGCAGCUGUGAGAAGUGUGAGAAAAUGUGAAAGGAAGGUCAGUGAAGAAGGAGAGGGAGGAGGUGCUCCAGGCACCAGAGCAGAGAUCCCCCUGCAGCUCGUGGAGACACCAUGGUGGCAUAGGUUGUCUGCCUGCAGCCCAUGGAGGACCACAGGUGGAGCAGAUACCUGCACUACAGCCUGUGGAAAGCUGGAGCAGGUUCCUGGCAGGAGCUGUGAUCUGUGGGGGACCCAUGCUGCAGCUAUCUGUUCCUGAAGGAUUGUACCCUGUGGGAAGGGCCCAUGCUGGAGCAGUUUGUGAAGGACUACCCCAUGAGAGGGACCCCACACUCAAGCGGGAAAAAGUGUGAGGUGGAAGGAGUGGCAGAAAGGAACUGUUAUGCACUGACUGAAUCCCCAUCCCCCAUCCCCCCUGUGACCAUUGGGAGGGGAGCAAGGAGUUGGGAAUGAAGAAGUGAAGUUGAGCCUGGGAAGAAGUGAUGGUGGCCUUCGUUUUGGAGAAAUGGAACGCGAUUGCCAGAUUGCUCAUGGAGCAGCCCAGUUCUUGAGAGAAAG